CCUACGGGGGGCUGCAGUGAGGAAUAUUGGUCAAUGGGCGAGAGCCUGAACCAGCCAAGUCGCGUGAGGGAGUACUGCCCUAUGGGUUGUAAACCUCUUUUGUCGGGGAGCAAAAGCCGGACGUGUCCGGCUGUGAGAGUACCCGAAGAAAAAGCAUCGGCUAACUCCGUGCCAGCAGCCGCGGUAAUACGGGGGAUGCGAGCGUUAUCCGGAUUUAUUGGGUUAAAAGGGUGCGCAGGCGGAUUUUUAAGUCAGCGGUAAAAUCGUGGGGCUCAACCCCAUCCAGCCGUUGAAACUGGGGAUCUAGAGUGUGCGAGAGGUAUGCGGAAUGCGUGGUGUAGCGGUGAAAUGCAUAGAUAUCACGCAGAACCCCGAUUGCGAAGGCAGCAUACCGGUGCACAACUGACGCUCAGGCACGAAAGCGUGGGUAUCGAACAGGAUUAGAUACCCCUGUAGUC
rnacentral:rRNA from 1 species